CAGUCGAGCGAGCUUGCCUAGAUGAAUUUGGUGCUUGCACCAAAUGAAACUAGAUACAAGCGAGCGGCGGACGGGUGAGUAACACGUGGGUAACCUGCCCAAGAGACUGGGAUAACACCUGGAAACAGAUGCUAAUACCGGAUAACAACACUAGACGCAUGUCUAGAGUUUAAAAGAUGGUUCUGCUAUCACUCUUGGAUGGACCUGCGGUGCAUUAGCUAGUUGGUAAGGUAACGGCUUACCAAGGCAAUGAUGCAUAGCCGAGUUGAGAGACUGAUCGGCCACAUUGGGACUGAGACACGGCCCAAACUCCUACGGGAGGCAGCAGUAGGGAAUCUUCCACAAUGGACGCAAGUCUGAUGGAGCAACGCCGCGUGAGUGAAGAAGGGUUUCGGCUCGUAAAGCUCUGUUGGUAGUGAAGAAAGAUAGAGGUAGUAACUGGCCUUUAUUUGACGGUAAUUACUUAGAAAGUCACGGCUAACUACGUGCC
rnacentral:rRNA from 1 species